CUGGCGUCAGGAUGAACGCUAGCUACAGGCUUAACACAUGCAAGGUCGAGGGGCAGCAUGACGAUAGCUUGCUAUGUUGAUGGCGACCGGCGCACGGGUGAGUAACGCGUAUCCAACCUUCCCCUUAGUAGGGCAUAGCCCGGCGAAAGUCGGAUUAAUACCCUAUGUUAUUCGUCGAGGACAUCUGAAAUGAAUCAAAGGUUUACCGCUAAGGGAUGGGGAUGCGUCUGAUUAGGUAGUAGGCGGGGUAACGGCCCACCUAGCCGACGAUCAGUAGGGGUUCUGAGAGGAAGGUCCCCCACAUUGGAACUGAGACACGGUCCAAACUCCUACGGGAGGCAGCAGUGAGGAAUAUUGGUCAAUGGGCGCGAGCCUGAACCAGCCAAGUAGCGUGCAAGGAUGACGGCCCUAUGGGUUGUAAACUGCUUUUAUGCGGGGAUAAAGUGCGGCACGUGUGCCGUUUUGUAGGUACCGCAUGAAUAAGGACCGGCUAAUUCCGUGCCAGCCGCUGC
rnacentral:rRNA from 1 species